rnacentral:rRNA from 1 species
GGGAUUAGUGGCGAACGGGUGAGUAACACGUGAGUAACCUGCCCUUAACUCUGGGAUAAGCCUGGGAAACUGGGUCUAAUACCGGAUAUGACUCCUCAUCGCAUGGUGGGGGGUGGAAAGCUUUUGUGGUUUUGGAUGGACUCGCGGCCUAUCAGCUUGUUGGUGAGGUAAUGGCUCACCAAGGCGACGACGGGUAGCCGGCCUGAGAGGGUGACCGGCCACACUGGGACUGAGACACGGCCCAGACUCCUACGGGAGGCAGCAGUGGGGAAUAUUGCACAAUGGGCGCAAGCCUGAUGCAGCGACGCCGCGUGAGGGAUGACGGCCUUCGGGUUGUAAACCUCUUUCAGUAGGGAAGAAGCGAAAGUGACGGUACCUGCAGAAGAAGCGCCGGCUAACUACGUGCCAGCAGCCGCGG